rnacentral:misc_RNA from 1 species
AGCAGCCGCGGUAAUUCCAGCUCCAAUAGCGUAUAUUAAAGUUGCUGCAGUUAAAAGCUCGUAGUUGAAUUUCGGGACCAUCAUGUUGGUCGUGCCUCGGUACGUACUGGCAUUGUUGGUUUCUCCCUUCUGACGAACCAUGAUGUCAUUUAUUUGGUGUUGUGGGAAAUCAGGACUGUUACUUUGAAAAAAUUAGAGUGUUUAAAGCAGGCUCACGCUUGAAUACAUUAGCAUGGAAUAAUGAAAUAGGACGUUUGAUUCUAUUUUGUUGGUUUCUAGGAUCGAUGUAAUGAUUAAUAGGGAUAGUUGGGGGCAUUAGUACUCAAUUGUCAGAGGUGAAAAUUCUUGGAUUUAUUGAAGACUAACUACUGCGAAAGCAUUUGCCAAGGAUGUUUUCAUUAAUCAAGAACGAAAGUUAGGGGAUCGAAGACGAUCAGAUACCGUCGUAGUCUUAACCAUAAACUAUGCCGACUAGGGAUCGGAUGAUGUUUAAUUUUUUAAUGUACUCAUUC